rnacentral:rRNA from 1 species
GACGAACGCUGGCGGCGUGCUUAACACAUGCAAGUCGAACGGAAAGGCCCUGUCUUUGUGGGGUGCUCGAGUGGCGAACGGGUGAGUAACACGUGAGUAACCUGCCCUUGACUUUGGGAUAACUUCAGGAAACUGGGGCUAAUACCGGAUAGGAGCUCCUGCUGCAUGGUGGGGGUUGGAAAGUUUCGGCGGUUGGGGAUGGACUCGCGGCUUAUCAGCUUGUUGGUGGGGUAGUGGCUUACCAAGGCUUUGACGGGUAGCCGGCCUGAGAGGGUGACCGGCCACAUUGGGACUGAGAUACGGCCCAGACUCCUACGGGAGGCAGCAGUGGGGAAUAUUGCACAAUGGGCGGAAGCCUGAUGCAGCAACGCCGCGUGCGGGAUGACGGCCUUCGGGUUGUAAACCGCUUUCGCCUGUGACGAAGCGUGAGUGACGGUAAUGGGUAAAGAAGCACCGGCUAACUACGUG